GUAGGCUGAUUUCCAGGGAUUUCUCAAACCCUCCUUGCCUCUUCCGUCUCGCAGACCCCGCGAGAACGACGGUCUCGCCUCCAUCCUAUCCUCCUCUCGCCGCCGUCUCCCUUCUCUCGGCUCCGUCGUCUUACUCCUCCUUUCUCUGUCUCUAGAAUCGAUCGAUCUAUUCGAAGAGGAUCGACAGUUUUUUUGGGGGCGAAGAUUUGAUUGGGAAUUUGAAAUGGAAGCUCGAGGGAGCAGCAGGAGCCAGACGGAGCCUAAGAAACGCCAAUCGAAGACGCCCAGAAAGCCCAGAGAUAGUGUUCUCGAACAGAAAUCGCCGGCGGAGUUCUUUGCGGAGAACAAGAACAUUGCUGGGUUCGAUAAUGUUUGUGAAGGUCUGUGAAUAACAGUUGAUGAAAAAGUUGCAGUUUUGGAAAUGACUGUCAGCAAUCAAGACGUGAAAAAAAGAAGUCUUUUAUUCAUAAAAUCUUCACCACAAAGGAGAAAGAAGGAAGCGGCUCUUCGAAUUUCUCAGAUAGGGACAUUGGUCCAAGUUCCAACCAUAUAUGACAUUUGCGGUCUAAAAAUGGCGUUUUUGGUAAGAAAGAUAUUGAUGACUACAGAGAGAGGGAGAGCACCAUGGAAAUGUAAUAAAACCACCAAGCCGUUAUAAAUCUCUUCGAUUCUCUCUCUCAGAAACUAUCAAAGCACAACAACCUCUUGCUGAAAAAAAGUGAAUUUGGUCCCAAUUCGAAGGAAAUUUUAAGCCCAGAAAAGCCUUUGUUUCUUGGUGAGUUCUCCGGCCGAUUUGGAGUAGGUAAUUUUGUGAUUUGCAGUUUAUUUUGAGAAAUGAUUGACGGGUUUGCAGUUCAUUUUUCCAUUUCUAGAAUUUUGCAGUUUAUUUUGGGGGUUUACACUCAAAUUGAGAAAGCACACAUGAACGCAAAGGCUCGAGGAUGUACGACAACUUGGAUAUGAUAGGGUUGUACUCUUUGGAAUUCCAGCCUUGAGCUUCUUCUUGCCUGGUGCCUUCUCAUUGAGUAUUGGAGCAUUAAAACACAGGUCAUCAGCUUCUGAUUAAUGGAGAAACGAGGACCAUGCCACUGAGUUUGGGUUCUUUUCUAAUUUUCUGAUUUUGGGGUUUUGCAGGGAGUGCCGAUGUACUGAUUUGCUGGGAUUUUUUUUUCCUCGCAGGAUUUUUGGUCUUUGAAAUGUGACAACUCAGUCAACUAUGAGUAGAUGUAUAGCAGCCUGCUUCAGUGCUCACUUGGUAAAGUUUUUUGGUCACAUAAAGGUGCUGGAAUUGGGAACUUUUUGGAUCUUAAAUCUUUGGUUGCCUAACAUUCUCUAUAUCGAAAGGCAUCGUCUUUGUUACCACAUUUUAUAUAUUUUAGACGAUGAAUUUGAGUGCAGUGGACUAUGAGUCAGUGAACAGGGAGUUAAUUUUGUUGAUGAGAUUUGGUUAAAUGUCUAAUACACAUAGGUGCUUAUGUUUGUUUACAUUGGUUGUAAAUUCUUGCUUUCUUUUCAAUUUUGUUUUAUUGUAAUUCUUGGUUUAUGGAUCUUGCAUUGCUUACAUGACGUGGUUAUAUUUCAGUGUUUGUGAGAUGUCGAAUUGUGUGUUUGUGGCUUAGUGAGAGUUAGAUUUAGAUUGUGUAGAAAAUGUGGGCUUCGGAGUGUAACCCAAUUAGUAAUUUGGAGUGACUGAGGAGAAGUAUUCUGAGCUGCAGUGGGACUCGGUGAGACCAUGCUGUCGGGAGAGAGUGAGCGAGCAGAGAGAGAAGAGAGGGAGGGAGGGAGAGAGAUAGGAUUUGGUGAGAGGAAGAGAGAGGAGGGCUGCGAAUUUUGACUCGGGGAGAGAUGACUGCCUGUUGCUUCGGUCAGAGCGUCGUUGGGGGAGGAGGACAGAGGGACUGACAGGUUGGAGAGAAGUGGGAGCUAGGGGUUUCGACUCAGUGAGAUUGUGAGAGAGUGGGGGAUGGCAGAGACAGAUGAGAGGGAGCUGGGCGUGGGAAUUGCAGAGAGAGAAAGAGAACUCAGAAGAUAUUUGUUUUGUUGAGAGCUGACAAGAAAAGGGGAGAAACAAUGAAAAAGUGACAGAAUCUGAGAAUCUGAAGUAAAAAAUGAUUAGUGGGGUUUUAGCUUCUGGCACUUUCUUCCCUGCUUUCUAAACCCAUUUUUCUCUGCACCCCUUCAAACUCUAGAAGUGUUUACACAGAUUGGAGCUCAAAAGCGCCAGAUUUUAUGGAACAAAUGGUCUCAGAGAAGCUGAUUACACUGCACAGUAGCAGCACAGGACCUGGUGGGCCUGGAUUUGCCACUUGAAGAUGACGUGGUCCUGAUAGUCGGUCACUUCCGCGACAGUUCCGAACAAAGGAUUCAGUUCCCAAGCUCCGACGAUUGUGUCUGUGGCAAAGAGAAUUCAGGAAGAGUGGAAGAUCCUGGAGAAGGAUUUGCCAGGCGAGUUCUUUUGUUUUUUAUUUUGAAUUUCCUUUUAAAUAAUUGUUUUGAAUUAAUGGUAGUGAAGUUUUCCCAUACUUAGCCUAUUCAUUUUUAUCAAAUAUUUUGCACCGACUAUUUCAUGAUGCUUACUGCUGUAAUUAAUUUGGUUUUGUACUGAAAGUUGGAGUUGAGAAUAUAUGGAAUAUAGUUGUUGGAUUGGUGUCUGUACUAUAGAAACUUAGGUGUGCUUACCUCCUUUUCAUUGA